UCUAACAUGUUCGAUGAUAUACCCACGCACAAAACAAACUCCACCCUUCCUUUACUUCUAAAUUUCUCUCUAAAUUUCUAAGAGAUGAUAUACCCACGCACAAUACUUCUGGGAAUCUAGAAAGUGAGACAAUAUUUCUUAGAGAUGAUAUACCCACGCACAAUACUUCUUUUGUCUCACUUUCUCCUUCCCUUGCAAAUUUCACAACUUAAAGAGCUUGAUUAUUUUCGACGGGGAAAAUAACAAGCUUAUCUGGGAAUCUAGAAAGUCUUGGUGAAUGUGAGAACCUGCAAGUGAUUGAUCUCUCCUUCAAUAGCUUGUUUGGUAUUAUACCCAUGAAGAUAUAUGGUAUGAGAAAUCUCACCGCGUUGGUUUUAACAUCAAAUAAUUUAUCAGGGUUUUUACAUCCUGAAAUUGGAAACCUGGAAAAUUUGUCAUACUUGGAGAUAAAUGAAAAUAAAUUGAGUGGUGAUAUUCCAGAGGAACUAGGAAAAUUGAAGAAGUUGUAUUUCCUUGAUUUAAGUGAGAAUCACAUCGGAGGGAGCAUUUCACCUAUGUUGUCGGGUUGCUCGAGCCUAGAAUAUUUCAACGCUCGUAUGAAUGUGAUCACAUGUCCCAUACCUAAUGAGUUACCGAGGAGUCUACAGUUGCUAGACAUAUCAAGCAAUAAAGUUGAAGGUAUGCUACCAACAUCAAUUUUCUCUUUAAAAAAUUUGACAGAAUUUAUUGUGAGCAAUAAUAGAAUUUAUGGUGAAAUUCCUCACGAAAUAAAAUAUUGCGAUAAGUUAUUGUUGUUGGACUUGGGAAAGAACCACUUCAGAGGCCAGAUUCCAGAAGAACUCAGUCAACUCUCUUCUUUGGAAAUCUCUUUGAACCUUAGCAUCAACCUAUUGUCAGGUCAGGUUCCAUUUCAAUUAUCUGGCUUAGAAAAGCUAACAUCAUUAGAUCUUUCUCAUAACCAACUUAGUGGUAAAUUAGAUGUCUUUACAAAUCUAGCAAGCCUUGUCCUAUUAAAUGUCUCGUUUAAUAAUUGUUCUGGCGAUGUGCCCAAUACCCUUCUAUUUCACGAACUCCCUCCAAGUAAUCUUGUUGGAAAUAAGAACCUCAAUUGGCCAGUGCAUCCAACUGAUCAACAUGUCCACCAUUCCACCAUGAAGUUGAUUGGUUUAAUCUUGUUGUGCAUUGGUGGGGUUCUUCUAACACUAUUGGCAGUCAUAAUGUACAAAAAGUUUUAUGCUAGAAUAAAAAUGUUUGAUCGACAUUUGAUUGAGGAGUAUGGUUGGAAUCUGACGCUUUUCCAAAAUACUCACCUCUCAAUUGAAUAUGUAAUAAAUAACUUAAACUCGGAAAAUGUGAUUGGAUUUGGAAGCUCCGGAGGUGUAUAUAGGGUACGUUUGCCUAACGGGGAGACAAUAGCUGUAAAGAAAAUGAUAGAAACAGAAGAAAGAGAGGUGUCCAGCUUAGAAAUCCAAAUUCAAAGCUAUAUCCGCCACAGGAAUAUAGUUACGCUUCUAGGGUGGGCAUGUAAUAGGAAAAUCAAGCUCUUGUUCUUUAAUUAUAUACCACAUGGAAGCUUAAGCUCGCUCCUUCAUGAUGCUGAGACGACAAAUGCAUGUAGGGGAAAAAUGGGAAAUUCGAUAUAACAUACUUGAUUGUUUGGGUGGCUCAUGCACUUGCUUAUUUGCACCAUGACUGCGAGCCUCCAAUAAUACAUAGGGAUGUCAAAAGCUUGAAUGUAUUAUUAUGACCAGAUUAUGAGCCUUAUCUGGCUGAUUUUGGACUAGCUGUUGCUACUUCUGAUUUGGAGAUGGAUCAAAGACCCAACUUAUGUGGGUCUUAUGGAUACAUGUCACUUGAAAUUGGUUUAAUGCCAAGAAUUACGGAGAAAAGAGACGUGUAUAGCUUUGGUGUGCUUGCUAUUGAGAGUUUGACAGGAAAGCAUCCAUUAAACAAUUUUCCUGAGGGGUCAAGCCUUGUUCAAUGGGUAGAAGAUCAGAUACGAAGAAACGUUGAUCCUACACAAAUUCUUGACGAAAACCUCAUAGAGUUGUUUGAUGAUCCUCGUAUACUUCUUGAGAUGCAAGAAACCUUAAAUGUCUCAUUGUGUUGUGUUUCCAUACGAGCUGAGGACCGCCCUACCAUGAAGGAUGUCGUGGCUAAGUUAAUGCUCAUUCGGCGUGCUAAUAACACUAGUGAAGAAGCUGAGGGACUUACGCCAGAUCUUUCUAUACCUUCUCCAAGUGCAACUGAUCAUAAUGAAACACCAUCUCGUAGCCUCCUUGGUUGAGCUGUACAUUUAAAGAGCAUGAUUGUAGACAAGAUUAAUUAGUUUGCAUAAAGUAUUAUCAAUGUUUUCCGCUAUCAGUGAUUACCCAGUCAGACGCUAAGUAAGAUUAGAGAAUCAUUAUAUAUAUAAGAGUUUUCCUAGCUACAAUAAAAAUAGCAAACAAUGCUGGAGUUAGAAUUGACGUGUUAUGUAAAGCCAGAGGCAUACCUUGGAAUUUUUUUUAUACGGGGUAAUACCAAAAUCAAUGCAUUAAUUUUCUAUUAAAA